ensembl:lncRNA
GUUGAAGAGAUUAUAAUCUUUUUUGUUCCAAUUUGAAUAUUAUGUUUUAACUGAUAUACUUUUCCCAAGUCUUACUGUAUUUUUCUGUCAUGAUAAAUUUUUGUUUACAACUGUAUCCUUUUCCCAUUUUAAUUUUGAUAGCGCUCAUGCUAUAAAAUCAAUUAAAUAUUUUCUAGUAUGCUUUCAGCCCUAUGAAAGUCAAAGAAUGGUGAAAUGCCAAAAAAGACCAAUGACAGCAACCCUACCUUUAUUACAAUGCAUAUACAUUUCCCAUUACCUAUUAGAUUACGGGGCUUAUAAAGACUUAAAUGAUGAGCACUUAAAAGUGAUACCGACUUAGUUUAUGCUUCUCACUUAUUAAGAAUGAAAGUGCCAGGUGGAAAAUUUUCAAAGAAAAUUGUAGCACUAGCUUUUCCAUCUUUCAGAUGACACGACAAGGAUGGAACUAGGAGGACACUAGUUAGGGUCACAAGUGAUUUUCGUUUGAAACCUUUUGUGUUGCACUUUCAAGGAAUCUUUCAUUAAUAGCUGUCCUUAUUUUGAAGGAAUAGAAUUUAUAAAAUGAACUAACUAUAAUGUAAACUUCUGUGAAGCCAUUUUUAUUUCUCAGUUUAUUUCUUUCAUAAAGUUUGAGGUUUGUUUCCAUAAAGGUGACACUAAAUGGAAAAAAUUCAAUCCAGUUACUAUGUAGCAUAAGUAGCCAACAGACUCCAUGGCUGAUUGGAUGUAAUAAUAUAUGAGUGUCCUAAAACUACUACUAGUGAUUUAUAAUAUUAACUUAAUUUGAUUUUACAGUCUUUUCUAACUUUGUGGUCUUCCUUCACUAUUACCUGUCUCCCCUGCUCAAUGAGGGACCUUUUGAUAUGCCUAAGGAUUCCCUUCAUAUUAAAUACUUGUGAAAAUUUUUUUCCUGUACCUCUUAGUUCUUAUACUUAAAAUGCUUUAAAGUCCAUUGUCGUUCAUUUCUGAUAGAUACAGCUUUCCUAUGUGACAUAUGUCUAAUUGUGCUUGAAAAUCUUUUGUCCAGAGCAUCAGGGUUGUGUGAGAAAAACAUGAAAUCCUAUGUAAUAAACUGCAACUAUAAAAAUUACAGAAAUUAUUUUCCAAGAUGAAGUUGAUUGGUAUUUGUCAAAUCUUCAUCUGUUACACAUUAAAAUCACU